rnacentral:misc_RNA from 1 species
CGCACCUUGCGCUUUCGGGUUAUUCCUGGAAGCAUGCUUGUUUGAGUGUCGCGUACCCUCUCCACCCCGCCCCUCUCACGGGGGGUAGACCUUUCAGGGUGGGAUCAUGGCGCCUUUGCCGUGCUUUUGAAGCAUGGCUGCGCUGAAUUGCAAUCAAGCUGUAUCUUUGCCAAGCGACCGGCGGCUUGACCCGUUGUCAUAAGACUUUCAAUGGGGACGCCAACCGCUAAACCUUUUGAAGAACGAGCUUACCGAAAUGAACUUUAUCGCAUUGACCUCAAAUCAAGUAGGACUACCCGCUGAACUUAA